rnacentral:other from 2 species
CAAAUCCUGAUGUGUUCGUCACACAUACAUCAGUUUUAACCGAACACUAAUGAUAAGGGAGUUUUAUAUUCUUUAGGAAAAGGUAUGUCUUUUCGGAGAACAUGAUUUUUCUAGAGUGCGAACACCCACCUGCGGAGAGCGGGUUCAAACGAUGCAUUAAUGGACGGCACAAUCGGGAUUUGU